GACGAACGCUGGCGGCGUGCUUAACACAUGCAAGUCGAACGAUGAAGCUGGAGCUUGCUCUGGCGGAUUAGUGGCGAACGGGUGAGUAACACGUGAGAAAUCUGCCCUUGACUCUGGGAUAACUGCGGGAAACUGUAGCUAAUACCGGAUACUUUCCCUGGUGGGCAUCCACUGGGGAAGAAAGAAUUUCGGUCAAGGAUGAUCUCGCGGCCUAUCAGCUUGUUGGUGAGGUAAUGGCUCACCAAGGCGACGACGGGUAGCCGGCCUGAGAGGGUGACCGGCCACACUGGGACUGAGAAACGGCCCAGACUCCUACGGGGGGCAGCAGUGGGGAAUAUUGCACAAUGGGCGCAAGACUGAUGCAGCAACGCCGCGUGAGGGAUGAAGGCCUUCGGGUUGUAAACCUCUUUUAGCAGGGAAGAAGCGAAAGUGACGGUACCUGCAGAAAAAGCACCGGCUAACUACGUGCCAGCAGCCGCGGUAA
rnacentral:rRNA from 1 species